GACGUAGGGCGCGAGCGUUGUCCGGAUUUAUUGGGCGUAAAGAGCUCGUAGGCGGCUUGUCGCGUCGAAUGUGAAAUCUCGGGGCUCAACUCCGAGCUUGCAUUCGAUACGGGCAGGCUAGAGUUCGGUAGGGGAGACUGGAAUUCCUGGUGUAGCGGUGAAAUGCGCAGAUAUCAGGAGGAACACUGGUGGCGAAGGCGGGUCUCUGGGCCGAUACUGACGCUGAGGAGCGAAAGCGUGGGGAGCGAACAGG
rnacentral:rRNA from 1 species